GUUGUUGGGUAGGGGAGCGUUCUGUAAGCCGUUGAAGGUGGCCUGUGAGGGUUGCUGGAGGUAUCAGAAGUGCGAAUGCUGACAUAAGUAACGAUAAUGCGGGUGAAAAACCCGCACGCCGGAAGACCAAGGGUUCCUGUCCAACGUUAAUCGGGGCAGGGUGAGUCGACCCCUAAGGCGAGGCCGAAAGGCGUAGUCGAUGGGAAACAGGUUAAUAUUCCUGUACUCGGUGUUACUGCGAAGGGGGGACGGAGAAGGCUAUGUUGGCCGGGCGACGGUUGUCCCGGUUUAAGCAUGUAGGCGGAUGUUCCAGGUAAAUCCGGAACGUUA
rnacentral:rRNA from 1 species